rnacentral:rRNA from 1 species
GACGAACGCUGGCGGCGUGCUUAACACAUGCAAGUCGUACGGUAAGGCCCUUUUGGGGGUACAUGAGUGGCGAACGGGCGGGUAAGUAGUGAGUAACCUGCCCACACUUUUGGGUUAAAGAUAGGAAAGUGGCGCUAAUAAUGGACAUGUGCUCCUGCCGCAUGGUGGGGGUUGGAAGGAUCCGGUGGGUGUGGGUUGACUGGCGGCCUAUCAGCUUGUUGGUGGGGUUGUGGGCUACCAAAGCGGCGUCGGGUAGCCGGCCUGCGGGGGUGACCGGCCACAUUGGGGCUGAGGAACGGCCCAAGCGCCUACGGGAGGCAACAGGGGGGAAUAAUGCACAAUGGGCGCAAAGCUGGUGCAGCAACCCCGCGGGCGGGAAGGCGGCCUUCGGGGUGAAAACCGCUUUCAGCAUGUGCCGAACCUUUUGUGACGGUACCUGCAGAAGAAGCACCGGCUAACUACGUG